GCUGGGCGCAGUGGCACAUGCCUGUAGUCCCAGCUACUUGGGAGGCUGAGGUCGGAGGAUCGCUUCAGUUGAGGAGUUCUGGGCUGUAGUGCUAGUGCUCUAUGCUGAUUGGGUGUCCACACUAAGUUUGACAUCAAUAUGGUGACCUCCCGGGAGCAGGGGACCACCAGGUUGCCUAAGGAGGGGUGAACCAGCCCAUGUCGGAAACAGAGCAGGUCAGAAACUCCCGUGCUGAUCAGUAGUGGGAUUGUGCCUUUGAAUAGCCACUGCACUCCAGUCUGGGCAACAUAGCAAGACCCCAUAUCUU
ensembl:misc_RNA Metazoa_SRP Metazoan signal recognition particle RNA